GACGAACGCUGGCGGCGUGCUUAACACAUGCAAGUCGAGCGGUAAGGCUCCUUCGGGAGUACACGAGCGGCGAACGGGUGAGUAACACGUGAGCAAUCUGCCCUUCACACAGGGAUAACUCCGGGAAACCGAAGCUAAUACCUGAUACGACCACUUCAGGCAUCUGAUGGUGGUGGAAAGUUCCGGCGGUGAAGGAUGAGCUCGCGGCCUAUCAGCUUGUUGGUGGGGUAACGGCCCACCAAGGCAACGACGGGUAGCCGGCCUGAGAGGGUGACCGGCCACACUGGGACUGAGACACGGCCCAGACUCCUACGGGAGGCAGCAGUGGGGAAUAUUGGACAAUGGGCGAAAGCCUGAUCCAGCAACGCCGCGUGAGGGAUGACGGCCUUCGGGUUGUAAACCUCUUUCAGCGCAGACGAAGCGAAAGUGACGGUAUGCGCAGAAGAAGGACCGGCCAACUACGUGCCAGCCGCCGCCGUAAGAC
rnacentral:rRNA from 1 species